rnacentral:sRNA from 1 species
GUUCGUUUGUACAAAGACCCUUGCAUUUAUUGGACUUGUCAGUGUCUGUAAGUGAAGCAUAAUUCACGGGAACUGUCUCCUGAACCGGCGAUUCUCCGAGUUCAGAAGGCAGUGUUUCACACUGGAGUGCCUGGAAGAGCAGAGGUUAGAAGACCCCUCACAGCGGACACAGAGACAGAGAGCUGGCAGGAACCUGUGGCCCUGGCCUCAGCCUUGAUUGCAUUUGUGGCUUUGCUGGCAUGGCUAGAGCCUUCCGCCAUGCUCCACGCUCUUCAUAUGACAACAGACAUGCUCCAGGAGACAAGCAAGCAAACCCACGAUCCCAUCUUAAAACAUUAUUGAGGGAUGCUUGUUCAAGUUCCUUUGGCCAAAGAAAUUCCUGUAGCCGAGCCCAAGGGAAGGGCAUGAGAGCCACUACACUCAGGUGGAGGCCAGAGGAUAACUGGUUACUAGGACUCCUUGCUAAUGCAGGAACCUUUCCCUCUGUCCCAAAGGCAGAGCUUUCAGAAGUCUUUCAUGGUGGCCUUGUGGAUCUAGCUGUAUGCACCUUGUGUAUGUGGUGGGUGCACAUGUGUACGCCUGUGCCUUUGAGUGAGACAUUCUUAUUCCUUGAGACGGAGCCUCUCCUGGAACCGGAAGCAAGCAUUUUCAGAUAGACUGGUUGGCCAUUGACCUCUGGGGUUCUCCCUCCUUCUGCCCUACAAUGUUGGGGCUACAGGUACCCACAGCCAUGCCUGGUCUUUUACCGGGUGCUGAGGAUUUGAACUCAGGUCCUCAAGAUGGUGAAGCAAGCACUCUUACCCACUGAGUCAUCUCCCCAGCCCUGAAGAACUGAAGCAUCUCUCACAGCUUGUAUAGAUCCAGAAACACAGCAGUACCAACAUUAAAGUGAUGCCCUUUUUAAAA